UUUAUAGUUGUUUUUCUUUUAUUUUUGGAUAUUCCUUAGGGUUUUUUACAUAUGAGAGCAUGUUAUCUGCAAACAGAAGUAAUUUUACUUCUUUCUUUCCAACAUGGAUGCCUUUAUUUCCUUUUCUUACCUAAUUGCUUUGGGUAGUGCCUCCAGUACAAUGUUGAAUAGAACAAUGAGAAUGAAUAUCCUUGACACUCUCUGAUCUUGGGGGAAAGAUUUCAGCAUUUUGCCAGUACAAAUAAAGUUACUUGUGGGUUUCUUCAUAGAUGUCCUUUAUCUGAUUGAGAAUUGAGAAAGCCCUUUUAUUGGUUUUGGUCAGUGUUUUUUCUUACCAUGAAAGGGUAUUAAAUAUUGUCAAAUGAUGUUUCUAUGUCUAUAAACACUAAUUAUAUAAUGUUUCUCCAUUUAUUUUAUUAAUAUGGUACAUUGGUUUUCAUAUAUUGAACUAACUUUGCAUUCCCGGGAUAAAUCCCACUUGGUUAUGGUAUGUACUUCUUUUUUAUGUUGCUAGAUUUGGUUUACCAGUACUUCAUUGAGGAUUUUUACAUCUGCAUUCAAAAGAGAUAUUGGUGUGCAGUUUUCUUUUCUUAUGAUAUUUUUGUCUGACUUUCAUUUCAGGAUAAUAUUGACACCAUGGAAUGAGUUAGGCAGUUUCCUCCUCUUUUAUUUUUUGGAAGAGUUUGAGAAGGAUAGGUGUUAAUUGUUCUUUAAAUGUUUGGUAGAAUCCACUAGUGAAAAUUUUCUAUCGGUUAUUAAAGUCAGUUUGCAUAGUUUCAGUUUGAGUUUUCAUUUUUUACACUCCCUCUCUACUGUGCAAAGUCAAUAUUGCCUGUGUGUGUGUGUGUGUGUGUGUGUGUGUAUGAGAUUUGUGUUUUUUGUUAUGUACAAAAGCAGAUUCUAUACAGGAUGAAUAUUCAGUUCUCAGUAUAUACUUAUCAGAAAGAACUUUGGAUCUAUCCUGUAGCUUACCAGUAAAGUCAGUAACUUAGGUAAAUUAAGUCCAGUGGGGCCAUUGGUCUUAUCAUCCUAGGCAUCUAUACAAUGGUAUUGCAUAAUAGGAUAUAAAAAUUCCAGUAGAUGGAAACAGUGGCUCUAUACCAAAAAAUAUCAAUUUAUUGUAUAGAUAUGGUUACCCAUGAAAUCAUUGUCAUUCAAAUACUUGGCUGAUUUUACAUUUGGCCUUUUAAAAACACACAUAUUUAUUUUUAUUUUGUCUUUGUACCAAUUAUUACUGCUUACAUAAAGAAUUUUCAGUGAGAAUUUCCUUUUAAGUGUCAAAGUAAUUCCAUCAAAGCAUUUAAUGGUUGUCAAAGCUUGGGCAGAGAGAGAAUGAGGUUUGUGUGUGUAUGCAUGUGUUUUAAUUCCCUUUUCCAUUGUAAUAUGUUUCUGUUCCUCUGGUUAAAAUAAAAACAAAUAAUAUUUUAAAUAAAAAACAUUUAAUGGGUAUGAAUUUGCUGACAUGUAAAUAAAUAAUAGGGAAAUAAACACACAGUUUUAAACUGUUCACUAGGUUUAAGAAAGAGUUAAAGAAUAAAUAAAAAGAUUUAAAGAAUAAACCUGAUAAACAUUUCACCCUCCCAAAAAAUGAGACUCUGACUUUGUCUUGUAGAGUUCAGGAAUGCUCCAGCAUUAUUUAGGCCAGGGGAGCAAGAAAACCUUUUCUAAUUCACACUGCAGCAGGAAACAAGAACAAGUGUUCACUGCAACUGGAGGCAGGUUACAGGAUACUCCAAACAGUUUCAUAAGAUAUGAUCAUUCAGUAAACAAUGCAUUGUUAACAUUGGUGACUGAGCUGUGAUACUUGUCCUCUGUGGAUGGUGUGCUUAACUCUUAUAAACAAAGUCUAGUCUUUUCUUACUGUGUUCAUCUACUUAAAGAAAAUGUUAAUUAAUCAAGAAAACUUUUCUAUUUUUUUUCAUGUUAUUCUCUUUCAACAAAAUGCUGAGCUCAUAAUAUAUAUUGAGGAUGUGAAGGAUAGUGACACUGUGUGAAGAGGAGGGACAGAAGUAAAUAUGACUGUGGUUCUCACUGCCUAUGAGCUCUCAGCCUAGUGGGCAAAGAUGUACUGCGCUAAGGCUCCAAAGCAGGAGAAGUUCACCACCUUGACUCAUGUUGAAAUUGCCUGGGAAGCUUAAAAACGGCAUCUCAGAUGAUCCUCAGAGAUAAUCAGAAACUUAUGAUGUCAUGGGAGAAAUGGACAAGUAACCAGAUGAUUAUAAUUCAGUGUGAAAAGUCCUGUGAUGGAAGUGAGUGUGGGGAGUGAUGAUCCUUCUUCCCAUUUUAUAGAUGAAGAACCUGUCUCAAAUGUUAAUGGAUUUGUGUCAUAGUUUGGUAGGUGACAGAGCGAGGGUAGAAAUUUAGGUCUGUCGGAUCUGUCUAAUUUAAACUAAUAUAUUAUGCCUCCCAACUGGGGGAAAAGGUCAGAACUAGGACUAUUUAUUUUCAUUAUUUUAGAAGAGAAUUCACAAUGUUUUUGUAUCUUCUAAUAUUAUAAACCACUCACAUGAAUUUCUAAAUAUUUGCAAGUGAACAAUUAUAAGAUAGGAAGAAAAGUACUUUCCUGUAUUUAUAUUCUCAAAAUUUCAAAUGACCUGCAUACCUGUAAUAAAAGGAUAUUCUGCAGAAACUGUUUUUUUUUAAUCAUGAUUCUUUUGUCUCUUAAAAUAUCCAUUUAACAUAAUUGGGCUAUGUAUAUUUACUUAUCAUUAUCAUGAAAUAUAAUAAUAGUGAAUAUAAUUCUGUAAUUCAGGGUGGAGACCUCUUUGAUAAUGUGACCCAUAAUGAUUAAACCUUGAAAUAUGUACUGCCAUGUAAUUUGGACAUACCUCAGGCUUUCUCAAAAGUGCCUUUCCAGUUAGACUUUUUUGUUUUUCUGGAGACUUCACAACAUCCUCUAUUUUUUUUUAUGCAGGAAACUGUAAAAAUAUGAAUGCAAAAUUUCUCUUUAAAUUAUUCUAUUUUAG